UUGCGCCUACGGGAGGCAGCAGUGGGGAAUAUUGCACAAUGGGGGGAACCCUGAUGCAGCGACGCCGCGUGGGUGAAGAAGCGCCUCGGCGCGUAAAGCCCUGUCAGCAGGGAAGAAAAUGACGGUACCUGAAGAAGAAGCCCCGGCUAACUACGUGCCAGCAGCCGCGGUAAUACGUAGGGGGCAAGCGUUAUCCGGAUUUACUGGGUGUAAAGGGGGCGCAGACGGCGAUGCAAGCCAGGAUUCAAAGCCCGG
rnacentral:rRNA from 1 species